rnacentral:rRNA from 1 species
UACGGAGGGGGCUAGCGUUGUUCGGAAUUACUGGGCGUAAAGCGCACGUAGGCGGCUUUGUAAGUUAGAGGUGAAAGCCUGGUGCUCAACACCAGAACUGCCUUUAAGACUGCAUCGCUUGAAUCAUGGAGAGGCGGGUGGAAUUCCGAGUGUAGAGGUGAAAUUCGUAGAUAUUCGGAAGAACACCAGUGGCGAAGGCGGCUCUCUGGGCAGAUACUGACGCUGAGACGCGAAAGCGUGGGUAGCAAAACAGG